UAUGGUCACAUCACGUUGAAACGCCGAUUUCCAUGCGAUCAGCGAAGUUAAGCAACGUCUAACCUGGUCAAUACUUAGAUGGGUAACCAUGGGAAUACCAGGUGCUGUAAG